rnacentral:rRNA from 1 species
UUAAGUGACUAAGCGUACAGGGCGGAUGCCUUGGCAAUCAGAGGCGAAGAAGGACGUGCUAAUCUGCGAAAAGCUUGGAUGAGUCGAUAAGAGGCGUUUAAUCCAAGAUGUCCGAAUGGGGAAACCCGAUGGAUGAAGAAUCCAUCAUUUCAUUGUGAAUACAUAGCAAUGAAAGGCGAACCGGGAGAACUGAAACAUCUAAGUACCCCGAGGAAAAGAAAUCAACCGAGAUUCUGUGAGUAGCGGCGAGCGAAAGCGGAAGAGCCAGUAAGUUUUAGCUAGUGUAUUAGAGGAAUUGGCUGGGAAGCCAAAUCAAAGAGGGUGAUAAUCCCGUACUCGAAAAUACGAUAGUGGAACUAAGCUUACGAUAAGUAGGGCGGGACACGAGAAAUCCUGUUUGAAGAUGGGGGGACCAUCCUCCAAGGCUAAAUACUCCUGAUUGACCGAUAGUGAACCAGUACUGUGAAGGAAAGGCGAAAAGAACCCCGGUGAGGGGAGUGAAAUAGAACCUGAAACCCUGUACGUACAAGCAGUAGGAGCGAGGGAAACCUUGUGACUGCGUACCUUUUGUAUAAUGGGUCAGCGACUUAUAUUUUGUAGCGAGGUUAACUGAAUAAGGGAGCCGAAGGGAAACCGAGUCUUAACUGGGCGUUGAGUUGCAAGGUAUAGACCCGAAACCCGGUGAUCUAGCCAUGGGCAGGUUGAAGGUUGGGUAACACUAACUGGAGGACCGAACCGACUAAUGUUGAAAAAUUAGCGGAUGACUUGUGGCUGGGGGUGAAAGGCCAAUCAAACCGGGAGAUAGCUGGUUCUCCCCGAAAUCUAUUUAGGUAGAGCCUUGAGCGGACACCUUCGGGGGUAGAGCACUGUUUCGGCUAGGGGUCCAUCCCGGAUUACCAACCCGAUGCAAACUGCGAAUACCGAAGAGUGAUACUCAGGAGACACACGGCGGGUGCUAACGUUCGUCGUGGAGAGGGAAACAACCCAGACCGCCAGCUAAGGUCCCAAAGUCUAUAUUAAGUGGGAAACGAAGUGGGAAGGCUUAGACAGCUAGGAUGUUGGCUUAGAAGCAGCCAUCAUUUAAAGAAAGCGUAAUAGCUCACUAGUCGAGUCGGCCUGCGCGGAAGAUGUAACGGGGCUCAAAUAUAGCACCGAAGCUGCGGCAUCAGAAUUUAUUCUGUUGGGUAGGGGAGCGUUGUGUAAGCGGAAGAAGGUGGCUCGAGAGGGUUGCUGGACGUAUCACAAGUGCGAAUGCUGACAUAAGUAACGAUAAAACGAGUGAAAAACUCGUUCGCCGGAAGACCAAGGGUUCCUGUCCAACGUUAAUCGGGGCAGGGUGAGUCGGCCCCUAAGGCGAGGCUGAAAAGCGUAGUCGAUGGGAAACGGGUUAAUAUUCCCGUACUUGGUAAAGCUGCGAUGUGGGGACGGAGAAGGUUAGGUAAGCGGACUGUUGGAAAUGUCCGUUUAAGUUGGUAGUUGGGAGCGGUAGGCAAAUCCGCUGCUCCAUUCAACAACGAGAGAUGAUGACGAGUUCCUAAGGGAAUGAAGUUACCGAUACCCGGCUUCCAGGAAAAGCCACUAAGCGAAAGGCUUUACUAAACCGUACUGAAAACCGACACAGGUGGUCAGGUAGAGAAUACUCAGGCGCUUGAGAGAACUCGGGUGAAGGAACUAGGCAAAAUAGCACCGUAACUUCGGGAGAAGGUGCGCUUACAGUAAUUGUAGUCCCUCGCGGAUGAAGGUGAAGUAAGUCGAAGAUACCAGCUGGCUGCAACUGUUUAUUAAAAACACAGCACUCUGCAAACACGAAAGUGGACGUAUAGGGUGUGAUGCCUGCCCGGUGCUGGAAGGUUAAUUGAUGGUGUUAUCGAAAGAGAAGCUCCUGAUCGAAGCCCCAGUAAACGGCGGCCGUAACUAUAACGGUCCUAAGGUAGCGAAAUUCCUUGUCGGGUAAGUUCCGACCUGCACGAAUGGCAUAAUGAUGGCCAGGCUGUCUCCACCCGAGACUCAGUGAAAUUGAAAUCGCCGUGAAGAUGCGGUGUACCCGCGGCUAGACGGAAAGACCCCGUGAACCUUUACUAUAGCUUGACACUGAACAUUGAAUUUUGAUGUGUAGGAUAGGUGGGAGCCUUUGAAGCAGUGACGCCAGUCAUUGUGGAGGCGACCUUGAAAUACCACCCUUUAACGUUUGAUGUUCUAACGAAGUGCCUGAAACGGGUACUCGGACAGUGUCUGGUGGGUAGUUUGACUGGGGCGGUCUCCUCCCAAAGCGUAACGGAGGAGCACGAAGGUUUGCUAAUGACGGUCGGACAUCGUCAGGUUAGUGCAAUGGUAUAAGCAAGCUUAACUGCGAGACGGACAAGUCGAGCAGGUGCGAAAGCAGGUCAUAGUGAUCCGGUGGUUCUGAAUGGAAGGGCCAUCGCUCAACGGAUAAAAGGUACUCCGGGGAUAACAGGCUGAUACCGCCCAAGAGUUCAUAUCGACGGCGGUGUUUGGCACCUCGAUGUCGGCUCAUCACAUCCUGGGGCUGAAGUAGGUCCCAAGGGUAUGGCUGUUCGCCAUUUAAAGUGGUACGCGAGCUGGGUUUAGAACGUCGUGAGACAGUUCGGUCCCUAUCUGCCGUGGGCGUUGGAUGAUUGAUUGGGGCUGCUCCUAGUACGAGAGGACCGGAGUGGACGCAUCACUGGUGUUCCAGUUGUCUCGCCAGAGGCAUUGCUGGGUAGCUAAAUGCGGAAGAGAUAAGUGCUGAAAGCAUCUAAGCACGAAACUUGCCAAGAGAUGAGUCAUCCCUGACUUUAAGUCAGUAAGGGUUGUUUAAGACUAAGACGUAGAUAGGUUGGGUGUGUAAGUGUAGUGAUACAUUGAGCUAACCAAUACUAAUUGCCCGAGAGGCUUAACCAU